rnacentral:rRNA from 1 species
AAACGACUCUCGGCAACGGAUAUCUCGGCUCAUGCAUCGAUGAAGAACGUAGCAAAAUGCGAUACUUGGUGUGAAUUGCAGAAUCCCGUGAACCAUCGAGUUUUUGAACGCAAGUUGCGCCCGAAGCCAUCCGGUUUAGGGCACGCCUGCCUGGGCGUCACG